UACGUAGGGUGCGAGCGUUGUCCGGAAUUAUUGGGCGUAAAGGGCUCGUAGGCGGUCUGUUGCGUCGGGAGUGAAAACUCAGGGCUUAACCCUGAGCCUGCUUCCGAUACGGGCAGACUAGAGGUAUGCAGGGGAGAACGGAAUUCCUGGUGUAGCGGUGAAAUGCGCAGAUAUCAGGAGGAACACCGGUGGCGAAGGCGGUUCUCUGGGCAUUACCUGACGCUGAGGAGCGAAAGUGUGGGAAGCGAACAGG
rnacentral:rRNA from 1 species